rfam:Eubacterium ventriosum ATCC 27560 Scfld028 genomic scaffold, whole genome shotgun sequence.
AAUAAUAGUAGAGGUUGCGCUACCUAUCAGUACAUUAUAAGAUGCCCCGGAGGCAGAUGAUUAUGUUGGAAAGGAUGUAGCGCCGAAGGAGAAUCCACCGGAAGAUUUAUCCUGGGCAUACGGUUAAGAGCCGUAUGACUGUCAUCAUUUGAUGGAGAGCCAUUAUCGACAAUCACAUUGAUGGAGAGCUACUUAUAAG